CUUAUAACGACAAAAAGCCACCUUAAUUAAUUAUUAACAAAAUAAAGUAAGUUUCAGGCGCUGAAUCUGAAAUAAUAAUGGAAAAAAGUAAGCAAAUGUGUGCCGCUUUGCUGUACAUCAGGUGUCAAGUGGAUUAUUAUUAUGGGGUGUAUUAGUAUUACAAUUGAUUUCAAUUAUUUAUCAUCAAAUAUUUAUGAAAAACAUUCGAAGUGAGGACGGUCUGUCAGCAGCUCCAUGAUAGUUCAUUUCAGAGAUGUUCUUUUCAAUGAAGUUCCAAUCUUAAGUAUGAAUAUAAUAAGUCUGGGAUCAGUUUAAACAGAAUUGGAAACAUAACCAUAGAUGGUGAUCGACUUGUUGAUCAAUGGCAGUGGCCUCGAAAUACUGAUAAAACCUAACAUUAAACGUUCAGAUUAAACAAUGAUGGACUUAUAACUGUUAAUGUUUUUAUGGCAUAAAUUUAUUCAUUUCAUUUAAUUAAAGAAGUAAUGGAGUUAUGCGAGGAUCGAGGACAGCCGAUGCCAACCAUGGUUAAAGAGUACAAUAGUUGCCAUUUAGUAGCAGAGCAUGGUUAGAAUAAAUCUUCUUCACUGAUGCUGACGGGUUCUUCUUGAAAAUACUUCAACUCCUCCAAAAUCACUGAAAAAAUCAAUAAAAACUUUUUCUUUUACAAUUGAUAAAGAGUGUAAACCAUUUC